rnacentral:rRNA from 1 species
UACGAAGGGGGCUAGCGUUGCUCGGAAUCACUGGGCGUAAAGGGUGCGUAGGCGGGUCUUUAAGUCAGAGGGGAAAUCCUGGAGCUCAACUCCAGAACUGCCUUUGAUACUGGCGAUCUCGAGUCCGGGAGAGGUGAGUGGAACUGCGAGUGUAGAGGUGAAAUUCGUAGAUAUUCGCAAGAACACCAGUGGCGAAGGCGGCUCACUGGCCCGGUACUGACGCUGAGGUGCGAAAGCGUGGGGAGCAAACAGG